CCACUGGUUCUUCAUGACUCAUUUCAGAUAAACUCUUCUGGACAACAGCAAGAUCACCUCUGAAUAGCCAAUACUAGGGGAAAAGUCAUAGAACCGUGGGAUCAUUAUGGUUGAAAAAGACCACUAAGAUCAUCUAGUCCGACUGUCUAACCAACACACCAUGCCCACUAAGCCGUGUCACUCACUGUGACAUCUACCCUUCAACGUUCCACAACAAAGGACUCUUAGAACCAACAGAGGUACACAAAGCUCCAGUAAAUGGAAUUUGAAUUCAGACAAAAUAAGAAAAUGACAGACAUAAGGAAAAUGUGAUGGUGUAUUCCAGAUCUGUUGCCCAGCACUGCAUCUGCUGGCCCUAAGGAUGGAGCCAAAAGCCAGGCACUGGCAUUUCAGUUCAGGCAGUCAAAACUCACAGGAUUUCCACUGAAAGACCAUCCUUAGGUAGAUGAAUGGGAAAAUCUGCAGUGAUGUGACCUACCAAAGAAGGAGGAGAAGAGAAGUGCCUGUUUUGUUCUCUGGAAAGAGAAUUGGUAGCCAGGCCCAGCCAACGUAGUGAUGUUUGAAAUAAAGCACAAGUGUGUUUUCAAAAGGAGAAGUUACCUGCUGGAGAAGGCAGUAGAGCAAAGCCCACAGCCCAGUGCAGAAUGGAAGGACGGACCCUUCGGCCCCCACUUCCCAAAGAAAGUGACUUCCAAAACUCAUCCAGCAACCCAACAAAUCUAAUUAUUCAUCAGCGCUUUUCUUGGGUUUGUUUUCGUUUUUCGGAGAGCAUGGUUGUAUUCUGGGCACAAAGUGUUUAUGCUGAUGAAUUAUUCAAGUUCUGUAAAACUAGACAUCAUU